rnacentral:lncRNA from 1 species
UGGUGCCCAACACCUCCCCGGAAUAGGGCCCGCCCUACAUCGGUCAGGGAGCGCGGGACCUCCCUAUCCCCACAGCGCCACCGUCCGCAGGUGCGCUUUGUGCAGGCGAGGCGCCUCCACUAUGGCCCCGCUUGACCCCGUGCGCAGGCGCGGCAUCCCACCCGCCGCGGUUCCUGCCCCCCAAAGCUCGACCCCGGUGUGGUGCGCAGGCGUAGUCUGCGCGGGGACUGGCGGGACUGCGCGGAGGCGACUACAGGCAUGGCGGUCUGGGUCCUGUCGCGCCUGCUGAGCGCUCCGCGCCUGGCGCUGGCCAAGGCGGUCCUGAGGCACGUGAAUGGCCAGGAUCAGAUUGUGCCCGGCCUGUACGCCUGUGGGGAGGCCGCCUGUGCCUCGGUACAUGGUGCCAAUCGGCUCGGGGCAAACUCGCUCUUGGACUUGGUUGUCUUUGGUCAGGCAUGUGCCCUGAGCAUCGAAGAGUCAUGCAGGCCUGGAGAUAAAGUCCCUCCAAUUAAACCAAACGCUGGGGAAGAAUCUGUCAUGAAUCUUGACAAAUUGAGAUUUGCUGAUGGAAGCAUAAGAACAUGAGAACUGCGACUCAGCAUGCAGAAGUGCCGCUGGGUUAGGGUCUCCACAACCGAGCUGGUCUCAGCAAGUGGCGCCCACACAUGGGGGCUCGAAUCCAGGUCGAAGGGUCACCGGAGCGACAGAAAACUUGGAACUAAGCUGGAGGACACCGAGUACUCUUAUGCAGUCCCCAUGGUGAGUAAGAAGGGGAGCUCAGAAGCAUCAGGGUAACGAUGGGACACGUGUGGGCUCUGGUUCUAAGCCGGAGGACACCCAAGUACUCUUACCCAGUCCCCAUGGUGUGUAAGAAAGGGAGCUCGGAAGCAUCAGGGUAACAAUGGGACACGUGUGGGCUCUGGUUCUAAGCUGGAGGACACUGAGUACUCUUACACAGUCCCCAUGGUGAGUAAGAAGGGGAGCUCGGAAGCAUCAGGGUAACAAUGGGACGUGUGGGCUCUGGUUCGUUCCACCUUGGAACCUUUUCACGCUAAUAAUAAGGGGGAAGGAGAGUAUAACGAAGUAACAGAAGAAAUAACAGAGCAGGUUUGUUUGCCAACUAAAGCUAAAGCGGCAAAGGAGGGAGAGGUUCAUCCCUACCCUUCUGCACCCCCUCCUUAUUUUGAAGAAAAAGAGUGGCCUGACCCUCCAGAUCUUUCAUUUCCAGAGGACAGUGGGCGAAAAGUAGUUGCUCCAGUGACUGUCCGAGCAGCACCUUGAGCGACCCCUCUCAGUUCUAUUCAGGUAGGAAUUCAGCAAGCUAGAUGAGAGGGUGAUUUAGAGGCUUGGCAGUUCCCUAUUAGAAUACACCCCGCAGAUCAACAGGGAAAUAUAGCCACAUUUGAGCCUUUUCCCUUUAAAUUACUUAAGGAGUUUAAACAGGCUAUCAAUCAAUAUGGACCAGGUUCUCAUUUCGUAAUGGGACUGUUAAAGAAUGUUGCUGUUUCCAGUCGGAUGAUUCCUACUGACGGACACUCUUACUCGAGCUUGUCUAACUCCUGCUCAGUUCUUACAAUGUAAAACUUGGUGGGCAGGUGAAGCUUCCAUUCAGCCUACUUGCAGCGCCCAGGCCCAACCUCAAAUUAAUAUAACUGCAGACCAACUUUUGGGGGUCAGCGGCUGGGUUGGUUUAGAUGCACAAGUGGUCGUGCAGGAUGAUGCCGUAGAACAGCUUAGAGGAGUGUGCAUUAGAGCUUGGGAAAAAAUCACUUCAGGUGGAGAACAAUACCCUUCCUUUAGUGCAGUAAAACAGGGACCAAAAGAACCGUACGCAGAUUUUAUAGCUCAGUUACAGGAGUCUCUUAAAAAGGUGAUUGCAGAUUCGGCUGCUCAGGAUAUAGUGCUGCAGUUAUCAGCUUUCGACAAUGCUAAUCCCGAUUGCCAGGCUGCUCUGUGACCUAUCAGAGGGAACGCACACUUAGUUGAUUAUAUCAAGGCCUGUGACGGUAUCAGAGGUAAUAUGCAUAAAGCUACUUUGUUGGUACAGGCAAUGGCAGGACUGAGAGUGGAUAAAGGAAAUCCUUUGUUGCCUGGAGCUUGUUUUAACUGUGGGAAGCAUGGUCAUACUAAACAAGAACGUAGAAAAAAUGAGUGAGUCAGGCUGCCAGAUAGGGGAAAAAAGAAAACUGCUGAGCCUGAAAUAUGUCCAAAAUGUAAAAAAGGAAAACGUUGGGCUAAUCAGUGUCACUCUAAGUUUGAUAAAGAUGGGAACUCGAUUUUGGGAAAUGCCAUGAGGGGCCCGUCCUGGGUCCCGUUCCAAACCGGAGCGUUUCCG